rnacentral:rRNA from 1 species
CUACGGGCUGCUGCAGUGAGGAAUAUUGCACAAUGGGGGGAACCCUGAUGCAGCAACGCCGCGUGGAGGAUGACGCAUUUCGGUGUGUAAACUCCUUUUAUAUGUCAAGAAAAUGACGGUAGCAUAUGAAUAAGCACCGGCUAACUCCGUGCCAGCAGCCGCGGUAAUACGGAGGGUGCAAGCGUUACUCGGAAUCACUGGGCGUAAAGGACGCGUAGGCGGGCUUGUAAGUCAGGUGUGAAAUCCUACAGCUUAACUGUAGAACUGCACUUGAAACUACGAGCCUAGAGUAUGGGAGGGGGAGAUGGAAUUAGUGGUGUAGGGGUAAAAUCCGUAGAUAUCACUAGGAAUACCUAAAGCGAAGGCGAUCUCCUGGAACACAACUGACGCUAAGGCGUGAAAGCGUGGGGAGCAAACAGGAUUAGAUACCCUAGUAGUC